CUAAACAUUUUGAAAAAUGCCUUUUGUAGUAUGUGUAAAAGGAAAGCAGAAUGUCUUAGAGACAAAUAACUACAGAAAUAAAGAGAUGCAGGCCUUUGUUCUACAUGGUGAAAGAGGGAAUUAUAGUGGAUUUUUGGAUUUACCAGGUAGAUCAUGGAUACAUGUGCGCAUGUUUAAGAGGUCUAAAUCCAUUGGAAUGCAGCAGUGAAACCUGUGAAGAAGAGUUAGUGAAGCAGAAUAGUUACAGAUCAUAAGAAAUGCAGGUCUUUGUUCAGCAUGGUGUAUAUGGAAAACAUAGUGGAUGGCCAGCCUAGAAAAUAUUUAAUGAAGAAAUAUAUUAGGCAGAGCUAUCAGCAGUAUAACAGACACAGCAAGAAGUACACUUUGUUUUGCACAGAUUUGUGUUCCACAAGUAUGGCCAUGAAGGGAUUUUCAUAGAAAAAAGUAAGAAAAUGUGAUGCUGCAUGAAUGCAAAGAGAGAAAAAAGCUACAUACCUAGAAGUUCAGUCAUUCAGGCCUGUAGGCCUUUGCAGUUGCUCUUCAAAUAAACUACAGAUGUUGGUUUGCGAUGCUUUGACAAAGUACGGGAAAAUAAAAGCUCUCACCCAGGUGUUCCUCUUACACGAGCAUGAAGAAAAGGGAGUUGCUGGAGGUAUUGCUAUGUUCUUGUUGCCCAGCUAGACAAAUUACAAGUAAGCCAAGUAGUUAUGAAUGUCGCCAUGGUUACAGAGUUCCGUCAGCAGCAAGCACAUACACGAUAUUUCCAUCAGGCACAUACCAGGACAGGACCCUUCAACACAUGUAUGUUUGGAUACUAUUGCAACAACUCUCAGACUGAUGGAUCCAUUAUUAACUAUACCACACUAUCAUAAAAUGACACCUCUUUAGAUGCAGGUGCUCAUAGAUUUGUAUGACCCUAACUGGAGUGCACAGUCAGACAAAAUAGCACCAGUUGCUGAGAACCAAGUUUCCCAGAAACAGAUAAUUUAAACGUAAUCUGACUUACAGUUUAUGAUAGAGUAUAUCUCAUUUCUCACAUGAUGUCAUUACCUGUAAAUGUUAAUUUUAUAAUGUAUAAAUGGAAUGACCAGCAAUAAGAAGCCAGUUUUGUGUUUUUAACU